rnacentral:sRNA from 1 species
UCUGUUUACCCACACAACAGGUACAGCAGAGGUAGAAGCAGUACAAACUUCCUCUACACUCCUGCCUAUAUGCCUCAGUCCUUGUGGAAAAGUCCUAUAGAGCUUAACAGA